AUCACUUCUUGGCCUUUUGGCUAAGAUCAAGGGUAGGAUCUGUUCUUAUCGGUUUAAUAUCUGGCACGUCCUCUAUCUGAGCAUAAUGUGGAAAAAUAUCCUCU
rfam:Myotis davidii contig42700, whole genome shotgun sequence.